rnacentral:rRNA from 1 species
UAGAGUUUGAUCCUGGCUCAGAUUGAACGCUGGCGGCAUGCCUAACACAUGCAAGUCGAAUGGCAGCACAGGUAGCAAUACCGGGUGGCGAGUGGCGGACGGGUGAGNNAUACAUCGGGACCUGCCCAGACGUGGGGGAUAACGUAGGGAAACUUACGCUAAUACCGCAUACGUCCUACGGGAGAAAGCGGGGGAUCUUCGGACCUCGCGCGGUUGGAUGGACCGCUGUUCGAUUAGCUAGUUGGUGAGGUAAUGGCUCACCAAGGCGACGAUCGAUAGCUGGUCUGAGAGGAUGAUCAGCCACACUGGGACUGAGACACGGCCCAGACUCCUACGGGAGGCAGCAGUGGGGAAUAUUGGACAAUGGGCGCAAGCCUGAUCCAGCAAUGCCGCGUGUGUGAAGAAGGCCUUCGGGUUGUAAAGCACUUUUAUCAGGAGCGAAAUACUACGGGUUAAUACCUCGUGGGGCUGACGGUACCUGAGGAAUAAGCACCGGCUAACUUCGUGCCAGCAGCCGCGGUAAUACGAAGGGUGCAAGCGUUAAUCGGAAUUACUGGGCGUAAAGCGUGCGUAGGCGGUUUUUUAAGUCUGCUGUGAAAUCCCCGGGCUCAACCUGGGAAUGGCAGUGGAUACUGGAAAGCUAGAGUGUGAGAGAGGAUGGUGGAAUUCCCGGUGUAGCGGUGAAAUGC